AUUGAACGCUGGCGGCAUGCUUUACACAUGCAAGUCGAACGGUAACAGGCCUUCGGGUGCUGACGAGUGGCGCACGGGUGAGUAAUGCAUCGGGACGUACCCAGAGGUGGGGGAUAACGCAGCGAAAGCUGUGCUAAUACCGCAUGUGAUCUGAGGAUGAAAGCGGGGGACCGCGCAGCAAUGUUUGGCCUCGCGCCUUUGGAGCGGCCGAUGUCGGAUUAGCUAGUUGGUGGGGUAAAGGCCUACCAAGGCGACGAUCCGUAGCUGGUCUGAGAGGACGAACAGCCAAACUGGGAAUGAGACACGGGCCAGACUCCUAAGGGAGGCAGCAGGUGGGAAUUUUGGACAAUGGGCGGAAGCCUGAUCCAGCAAGGGCGCGGGCGGGAAGAAGGCCUUCGGGUUGGAAAACGCUUUUGGCAGGGACGAAACGGUGUCCGCUAAUACCGGGCGCUAAUGACGGUACCUGCAGAAUAAGCACCGGCUAACUACGUG
rnacentral:rRNA from 1 species